rnacentral:snRNA from 1 species
UUGCUUGGUUCAGCAGUACAUAUACUAAAUUCGAAUGAUACAGAGAAGAUUAGCAUGGUCCCUGCACAAGGAUGAUAUGCAAAUUCAUGACAGAUUCCAUAGGAAA